rnacentral:misc_RNA from 1 species
CCUAGCCCGUUCUUACGAGAGCGCGUCUUCAACUCGGGCCGCAGGACCCCUUCACGCACUCUUGCGUGUCUGGGAAUGCGGCCAGAGGGCGAAGUAAAACCCUUGCCUACGAGUACCCUUUGUUCCCUCGGCGGGCUCGCGCCCGUCGAUGGGCCCAACCAAAACCCCUUUGCAGCAGCACUAUACCUCUGAUCGUGGGGCAUUUGAAUCUUAA